ACCUACCUCAGCGCGCUCCUCACCUCAGCGCGCUCCGUACCUACCUCAGCGCGCUCCCCUCCCCAGCCCGCUCCCUACCUCAGCCCACUCGGGCGCGCUGCCCCGGGAGGGUUAACUCCGACCCUGCCUCACCGCAGCUUUCCGUCUCCACCCACAGCACCCGGAGAACUCACGUGACCCCCUUCCCGAAAACAGCGGCUCCCGCCCGCCUCCGCGCGGGCCGCCGGCCCAGAUUCCCUGCCAGGAGGAGGGAGGGGCUGGGCCGCCGCCGCUCCCGGAAGUGACGUCACGUCGAGGGCGCCCGCCUCAGGGGCGUGAGUCGUGGUCUCAGGGGUCCUCGGCGCCUGGGUCGAACGUAGUUUGUGUUGUCUAUGAGCAAGGAAGACAGAGUCCUGACUGCCGUUACCUGUUCUUGCAACCGCAAGGGAGUCACUUUGGGAUGGAGCAGUGUGGGGAUGGCAGAGUAGUGAAGCAGGGUAAGCACCCUGAUGACGUCAUGGCACCGUUGAAUUCACUGUUCCUGGAGUCCACACUGCUUCUGGUGUUGAGGUGGUCUGAGAUAAUAAAUUUCCUUAUUGAUUAAGCAAGAUUAAUUAGGAUUAAUUAAGCAAGGUUCAUUGUGUCUGCUGAGUGAUGAGAAGUGUUUGCCUGUUGUUAACAGUCCAGUUGGAAAAAAUGGUAAAGCUAACCCUCACCCCCAGGUUUUUAUUUUCUAGAAGUGAACAAAAAAGGGAGGAACAUUCCACUUGGGCUUAGUCCUUGAAGAUGGUUGAAUUUCUACUUGAAUGUUCCAUCAUCACUUUAAGACCAGUAUCUCCCUCCUCUCUGCUUUCGUUGGUGACAGUAUUUUUACCAGCCAGAUAACUUGAAGCAAAAACUUAAGAAUUAUCCCAGAUUUUCAUUUCUCCAUUCCUUCCACCCUGUCAGAAGUAGUCUGUUGGUUGUUUCUAAAAAUAUCCUUCAAAACUGUUUUCUCUUCACUUAUCACUACAAAUACCUUCCUCUGGGCAUCCGUAUAUAUUGGCCUGGACUGAGACAACUGACUCCACACUGGUAUGUUUGACACCAGACUUUCAUUCUCGUCUUUCGCUACUAGAGUUAGAAUUUUGGAACACAGCUCUAUAUGCAUCCUACCUCACCUGUUCAGAUUCUUUCAUUAUCACUCAUUGUUUAAGAAAUGAAAUGCAAAACUCUUUUGCUUGACAACUGGCACCGAACAAAGACUUUGUGGUCUGGCUGCUGCCUGCCUCCCUAGCCUCCUCCUUCCUGACUUUCUCUCUCUCUCUUUAGCCCAUGUAUUGGAUGCCGCGCUUGUCGCAGAUGUGAGAUGUCUCCCCUCUUUGGUCUGGCUGCUGCUUCUCUCUCUUUGAAAGAUCCUGUUCAUAAAGCUCACGUUUUAGGUCCUUCGUGAGUUUUUCCGUAAGUUGCCCACGCUUGGUUGGCAUUUCCUCCUCCGUGCUUCUGUGUGUCCCUUGUGUAAAUUUCGGCCUUGAUCACACGGUACUGAAAUUGUCUUCAUAUUUGUCUCCCACUUCGUUCAGUCAGCCCACAUUUCCAGAGCACUUUGUGUGUGUGAAGCACAGUGCUGAGUGCUAGCUCUUUACAAAUAAACACUUAGUAUUUACCAGCUUGGUUGAGCAGUUAAAUAGAGAUAGGCACUUGAAUAAGUAAAUAUGAGUGUGUUCUGGAUGGCAGGAUGGGUCUCUCAGCAGGGUACCUGGUCAGCGUUAAGGUUGAAAGUGGUUCUGCUGCCUGGAGUUGGGGCUUAUGUGCUGGGUCAUCGAUAGUGACCGUCAAGUGACAUGUGCUGCCCCAGUUACUCUUCUUCACCAA
rnacentral:lncRNA from 1 species